rnacentral:rRNA from 1 species
UCUGGCUGCGAUAACGCAAUGGUCCCACCUGAUCCCAUGCCGAACUCAGAAGUGAAACGUUGUGGUGCCGAUGGUAGUGUGGGGAGUCCCCAUGUGAGAGUAGGGAACAGCCAGGC